AUUGAACGCUGGCGGCAGGCCUAACACAUGCAAGUCGAGCGAGCGGCGGGCGGGUGAGAAAAGUCUGGGUAUUGCCCGGUCUAGGGGGAUAACAGGUGGACACGACUGCUAUUACCGCAGACGAUUGGAUUGCCCAGGUGGGAUUAGCUAGUUGGUGGGGUAAGGGCUCACCAAGGCGACGAUCCCUAGCUGGUCUGAGAGGAUGAUCAGCCACACUGGAACUGAGACACGGUCCAGACUCCUACGGGAGGCAGCAGUGGGGAAUAUUGGACAAUGGGGGAAACCCUGAUGCAGCCAUGCCGCGUGUGUGAAGAAGGCCUUCGGAUUGUAAAGCACUUUAAGCGGGGAGGCGUUACUCGCAGAAGAAGCACCGGCUAACUCCGUGCCAGCAGCCGCGGUAAUAC
rnacentral:rRNA from 1 species